CAAUAGCGUAUAUUAAAGUUGUUGCGGUUAAAAGCUCGUAGUUGGAUUUCUGCCGAGGACGACCGGUCCGCCCUCUGGGUGAGUAUCUGGCUUGGCCUGGGCAUCUUCUUGGAGAAUGUAGCUGCACUUGACUGUGUGGUGCGGUAUCCAGGACUUUUACUUUGAGGAAAUUAGAGUGUUUCAAGCAGGCAUGCGCCUUGAAUACAUUAGCAUGGAAUAAUAAGAUAGGACCUCGGUUCUAUUUUGUUGGUUCUAGAGCUGAGGUAAUGAUUAAUAGGGAUAGUUGGGGCGAUUCGUAUUUCAUUGUCAGAGGUGAAAUUCUUGGAUUUAUGAAAGACGAACUUCUGCGAAAGCAUUUGCCAAGGAUGUUUUCAUUAAUCAAGAACGAAAGUUGGGGCUCGAAGAUGAUUAGAUACCA
rnacentral:rRNA from 1 species